UACGGGCGAAAGCCUAAAACUCAAAAGACUUGACGGUGUCCCAACCCCCCUAGAGGAGCCUGUUCCAUAAUCGACAACCCACGAUACACCUAACCACCCAUAGACCAAACCAGCCUAUAUACCGCCGUCGAACAGCUUACCUUUAAAAGACUAUAAGUAGGCCAAAUAGUAAACACUAAUAAGUCAGGUCAAGGUGUAGCUUAUGGGGUGGA
rnacentral:rRNA from 1 species